AAACGCCAUUUGCAGCAAACUUGUGUCGUCUGCAACAGAUGCUUUUUUCAAACCGCAAAAUGAAGACAUUUGAACCGUUCAGCGCGGUAUUGAUUAAGACUUCUGGAGUUUUGUUGCGGUGGAGUUUAUGUUUACGAAAUCAGGCGUUAUAGAAGAAACUGAAUACACGCUAUGGAGGCUCAGGCAUGGAGGAGGAUGCUCCCAUUCCUAGCAAGAGACCAAGGCUAUUUCAAUCCGGACCAGACAUUUUGAAGUGUAUCAUCUUUCAAAAAGAUACAGACCAGUUUACAACGAGUUCAGAAAAUGGGAGAUCGAAAGUAAAAGA